rnacentral:rRNA from 1 species
GGUUAAGUGACUAAGCGUACAGGGCGGAUGCCUUGGCAAUCAGAGGCGAUGAAGGACGUGCUAAUCUGCGAAAAGCUUGGAUGAGUCGAUAAGAGGCGUUUAAUCCAAGAUGUCCGAAUGGGGAAACCCAGUAGAUGAAGAAUCUACUAUCAAUAAAUGAAUACAUAGUUUAUUGAGGCGAACCGGGAGAACUGAAACAUCUAAGUACCCCGAGGAAAAGAAAUCAACCGAGAUUCUGUGAGUAGCGGCGAGCGAAAGCGGAAGAGCCAGUAAGUUUUAGCUAGCGUAUUAGAGGAAUUGGCUGGGAAGCCAAAUCAAAGAGGGUGAUAAUCCCGUACUCGAAAGUAUGGUAGUGGAACUAAGCUUACGAUAAGUAAGGCGGGACACGAGAAAUCCUGUUUGAAGAUGGGGGGACCAUCCUCCAAGGCUAAAUACUCCUGAUUGACCGAUAGUGAACCAGUACUGUGAAGGAAAGGCGAAAAGAACCCCGGUGAGGGAGUGAAAUAGAACCUGAAACCCUGUACGUACAAGCAGUAGGAGCGAGGGCAACCUUGUGACUGCGUACCUUUUGUAUAAUGGGUCAGCGACUUAUAUUUUGUAGCGAGGUUAACUGAAUAAGGGAGCCGAAGGGAAACCGAGUCUUAACUGGGCGUUGAGUUGCAAGGUAUAGACCCGAAACCCGGUGAUCUAGCCAUGGGCAGGUUGAAGGUUGGGUAACACUAACUGGAGGACCGAACCGACUAAUGUUGAAAAAUUAGCGGAUGACUUGUGGCUGGGGGUGAAAGGCCAAUCAAACCGGGAGAUAGCUGGUUCUCCCCGAAAUCUAUUUAGGUAGAGCCUUGAGCGGACACCUUCGGGGGUAGAGCACUGUUUCGGCUAGGGGUCCAUCCCGGAUUACCAACCCGAUGCAAACUGCGAAUACCGAAGAGUGAUACUCAGGAGACACACGGCGGGUGCUAACGUUCGUCGUGGAGAGGGAAACAACCCAGACCGCCAGCUAAGGUCCCGAAGUCUAUAUUAAGUGGGAAACGAAGUGGGAAGGCUUAGACAGCUAGGAUGUUGGCUUAGAAGCAGCCAUCAUUUAAAGAAAGCGUAAUAGCUCACUAGUCGAGUCGGCCUGCGCGGAAGAUGUAACGGGGCUCAAAUAUAGCACCGAAGCUGCGGCAUCAGAAUUUAUUCUGUUGGGUAGGGGAGCGUUGUGUAAGCGGAUGAAGGUGGCUCGAGAGGGUUGCUGGACGUAUCACAAGUGCGAAUGCUGACAUAAGUAACGAUAAAACGAGUGAAAAACUCGUUCGCCGGAAGACCAAGGGUUCCUGUCCAACGUUAAUCGGGGCAGGGUGAGUCGGCCCCUAAGGCGAGGCUGAAAAGCGUAGUCGAUGGGAAACGGGUUAAUAUUCCCGUACUUGGAUAAACUGCGAUGUGGGGACGGAGAAGGUUAGGUUAGCAGACUGUUGGAUGUCUGUUUAAGGUGGUAGGUGGAAGACUUAGGCAAAUCCGGGUCUUUAUAAAACACUGAGAGCUGAUGACGAGGUCUUAAGGGACUGAAGUAACUGAUACCCUGCUUCCAGGAAAAGCCACUAAGCUUCAGGUUUAUCUAAACCGUACUGAAAACCGACACAGGUGGUCAGGUAGAGAAUACUCAGGCGCUUGAGAGAACUCGGGUGAAGGAACUAGGCAAAAUAGCACCGUAACUUCGGGAGAAGGUGCGCUUACAGUAAUUGUAGUCCCUUGCGGAUGAAGGUGAAGUAAGUCGAAGAUACCAGCUGGCUGCAACUGUUUAUUAAAAACACAGCACUCUGCAAACACGAAAGUGGACGUAUAGGGUGUGAUGCCUGCCCGGUGCUGGAAGGUUAAUUGAUGGUGUUAUCGAAAGAGAAGCUCCUGAUCGAAGCCCCAGUAAACGGCGGCCGUAACUAUAACGGUCCUAAGGUAGCGAAAUUCCUUGUCGGGUAAGUUCCGACCUGCACGAAUGGCAUAAUGAUGGCCAGGCUGUCUCCACCCGAGACUCAGUGAAAUUGAAAUCGCCGUGAAGAUGCGGUGUACCCGCGGCUAGACGGAAAGACCCCGUGAACCUUUACUAUAGCUUGACACUGAACAUUGAAUUUUGAUGUGUAGGAUAGGUGGGAGCCUUUGAAGCAGUGACGCCAGUCAUUGUGGAGGCGACCUUGAAAUACCACCCUUUAACGUUUGAUGUUCUAACGAAGUGCCUGAAACGGGUACUCGGACAGUGUCUGGUGGGUAGUUUGACUGGGGCGGUCUCCUCCCAAAGCGUAACGGAGGAGCACGAAGGUUUGCUAAUGACGGUCGGACAUCGUCAGGUUAGUGCAAUGGUAUAAGCAAGCUUAACUGCGAGACAGACAAGUCGAGCAGGUGCGAAAGCAGGUCAUAGUGAUCCGGUGGUUCUGAAUGGAAGGGCCAUCGCUCAACGGAUAAAAGGUACUCCGGGGAUAACAGGCUGAUACCGCCCAAGAGUUCAUAUCGACGGCGGUGUUUGGCACCUCGAUGUCGGCUCAUCACAUCCUGGGGCUGAAGUAGGUCCCAAGGGUAUGGCUGUUCGCCAUUUAAAGUGGUACGCGAGCUGGGUUUAGAACGUCGUGAGACAGUUCGGUCCCUAUCUGCCGUGGGCGUUGGAUGAUUGAUUGGGGCUGCUCCUAGUACGAGAGGACCGGAGUGGACGCAUCACUGGUGUUCCAGUUGUCUCGCCAGAGGCAUUGCUGGGUAGCUAAAUGCGGAAGAGAUAAGUGCUGAAAGCAUCUAAGCACGAAACUUGCCAAGAGAUGAGUCAUCCCUGACUUUAAGUCAGUAAGGGUUGUUGUAGACUACGACGUAGAUAGGUUGGGUGUGUAAGUGUAGUGAUACAUUGAGCUAACCAAUACUAAUUGCCCGAGAGGCUUAACCAU